AACNGUGGUGCUCUUGACACAAACCAAGUU
rnacentral:piRNA from 1 species